GCGCACGUGGUGGAAUUGGUAGACACGCUACUUUGAGGGGGUAGUGCCGGUAACGGUGUGCAAGUUCAAAUCUUGUCGUGCGCA
rnacentral:tRNA from 1 species